rnacentral:rRNA from 1 species
UCGGGAAUAUUGCGCAAUGGAGGAAACUCUGACGCAGUGACGCCGCGUGCAGGAAGAAGGUUUUCGGAUUGUAAACUGCUUUAGAUAGGGAAGAAAAAAAUGACAGUACCUAUAGAAUAAGCUCCGGCUAACUACGUGCCAGCAGCCGCGGUAAUACGUAGGGAGCGAGCGUUAUCCGGAUUUAUUGGGUGUAAAGGGUGCGUAGAUGGAUAAACAAGUUGGUUGUGAAAUCCCUCGGCUUAACUGAGGAAUUGCAACCAAAACUGUAUAUCUUGAGUACUGGAGGGGAAAGCGGAAUUCCUAGUGUAGCGGUGAAAUGCGUAGAUAUUAGGAAGAACACCGGUGGCGAAGGCGGCUUUCUGGACAGAAACUGACAUUGAGGCACGAAAGUGUGGGGAGCAAACAGG